AGGAGCCGUGUGAGAUGAAAGUCUCAUGCAUGGUUUUGAAUGAGAGAAAGAAGUGAGGAAUCAUCUUUUCGACUCUGAC
rfam:Capsicum annuum cultivar Zunla-1 chromosome 1, whole genome shotgun sequence